CUCUGGCUUCUGUUCCCUCA
rnacentral:miRNA from 1 species